CAGCUAAAUCGUUAGUGAUUUUGACCUGGAGUUUAUGGCAACUAUGACGUUAGGCAACUGCAAUGGUUUGACGUCAUGAACGAACGAAAAGUACCCAAGGAUAAUUUGUUAAAGAAGUAUUUUGGGCGUGCAGCUUCAGAAACUGAAUUCCUUACUGAAUGGUACAUGGUAGAGAGAUUUGGCUUCAUUUACUGUCAGUCAUUUCCUCUGCUUGUACUUUUCAGUUUAGCCUGAACCUGAAGAGUAACAACUGAAUCAACAGAAGUAUGGAUCUGUAUGAUGUUUCAAGGGUUUUCAUCUGUAAGAGAUUUCAUUGGGUCCCUAACUCUUGAGAAGGCUGUGGUUUCUUCCCGUAACUCAAAGGUUAUAGCCGGUUUUUUCAGGACUUUGAGUACAGUGAUUGAGAGUUAACUGUACUAUGUAGUAUUUUGUCUACACAUCUGAGGAGCAAAAGCUAACUGUGUUAGCUUUUGCUAACUGAGCUGUUAGCGAAAAAUAACAGCUCAGUGAUGAUGAAAAACUGUUACGCAAUUUUACUCCAUAUAGAGAUGUUUGGAGCUUCUUUAGAUCACCUGU